rnacentral:rRNA from 1 species
AGUGAACGCUGGCGGUAGGCCUAACACAUGCAAGUCGAACGGCAGCACAGUAGGAGCUUGCUCUUACGGGUGGCGAGUGGCGGACGGGUGAGGAAUACAUCGGAAUCUACUUUUUCGUGGGGGAUAACGUAGGGAAACUUACGCUAAUACCGCAUACGACCUACGGGUGAAAGCAGGGGAUCUUCGGACCUUGCGCGAUUGAAUGAGCCGAUGUCGGAUUAGCUAGUUGGCGGGGUAAAGGCCCACCAAGGCGACGAUCCGUAGCUGGUCUGAGAGGAUGAUCAGCCACACUGGAACUGAGACACGGUCCAGACUCCUACGGGAGGCAGCAGUGGGGAAUAUUGGACAAUGGGCGCAAGCCUGAUCCAGCCAUACCGCGUGGGUGAAGAAGGCCUUCGGGUUGUAAAGCCCUUUUGUUGGGAAAGAAAAGCAGCGGGUUAAUACCCCGCUGUUCUGACGGUACCCAAAGAAUAAGCACCGGCUAACUUCGU